UGAGUCUUCAUUCACAGGGAUUGGGAUGGAUGCGACAAACAGCAAGGCACCUCAGCUUGCAAGGCUAUGGCUGUGGGCUGUGCACGCAGCAGAGCUCCGGGUUUGUUCCCGCUUUGUCUGGCCGUGGGAUGCGUGCAACGAGAGCUCUGCUCCAAUUGUGUAUGGUAGCAAAUAAUCUCUAGCAUCCUGGCUGCUGCUCGUGAUCAUCCCAAGCUUGCAGGCUGUGGCUUUGUGAUGCUUUUGAGGGCUUUUGGAUGCUCUUGGAUGCCUCAGCUGCUCCCGACAGCUCUCUCCUCCCGCCGUGUCCAUUCCUGGCUCCCAGCUACAAGCUGGCCCUGCAGAGCAUCUCCAGCCCUGUCAGCAUCACUAUCCAGCUGCGGCAGGAGGAGUUCAUCCUGACCAACACCAGGUAGUACUUCUUGGUCUGCAGGUUAGCUGACAUUUACCUGUAGUCCUCUCUUGCAGAAGAAUCCAGAAGCAGAACCUUUUCCUCAUCUGCAGCACACAAAUGCUUUAAAAGCAGAAACAACCCAGGAAGCUCUGGGUUUGUGAGUCUGCAUGGACAUGCACUGACUGUGUUGAUGGUGCUCUGCCAUCCUUUAUUUCCUUCUCCUUGCUUGACCAUAUUCUGCUCAGGAAUGGAAACCUGCAUGUCCCACAAUUCCCUGGAACCCAACUUAGGUGACUGGUUGCCUGAACAGAUCUCUCUCUGGAGCACAAGAGCAGAUUGAUUGGGGGAGGUGUCGAGCAGAUUGAGGUGGAAGUUGAAGACUCAAAUUCAAUGUUGCCAAGCCACUGCGGAUGCCAAAUCCAUGCACAGGAGACUUGGCUGUGUACAGGAGUUACUCCAGGAUGAGGAGCUGCCAUUGGUCUUCAAGCAGCUGCAGGAGGGCCAGAGAAGGGCAGAUGAAAAGCUGCAGCUGAGCCUGAUGGACCUGCACAACUCUCAGGCUGUCUUCCAGAGGUAGCUGUGACACAUUGAUUCUUUCUGUGCAUGUGAAUUAUUGUUUUCCAGCUGUAAACUGAGGUUGACAGCUUAAUGAAAACUGCAGUUUUCAUUAAUCUUUGUGGAAACAAUGUAAUGGUCCACACGAAUCUCAAAACUGCAGCUUUGUGCAACGUCAGCAUGUUUAGACUUGCUAGGGCCUAAAAGUACCCACUUUAUGGCAUUAAAA
ensembl:lncRNA